rnacentral:rRNA from 1 species
UGGGGAAUCUUGGACAAUGGGGGCAACCCUGAUCCAGCCAUGCCGCGUGAGUGAUGAAGGCCUUAGGGUCGUAAAGCUCUUUCGCCUGUGAAGAUAAUGACGGUAGCAGGUAAAGAAACCCCGGCUAACUCCGUGCCAGCAGCCGCGGUAAUACGGAGGGGGUUAGCGUUGUUCGGAAUUACUGGGCGUAAAGCGCACGUAGGCGGACCAGAAAGUUGGGGGUGAAAUCCCGGGGGCUCAACCCCGGAACUGCCUCCAAAACUAUUGGUCUAGAGUUCGAGAGAGGUGAGUGGAAUUCCAAGUGUAGAGGUGAAAUUCGUAGAUAUUUGGAGGAACACCAGUGGCGAAGGCGGCUCACUGGCUCGAUACUGACGCUGAGGUGCGAAAGUGUGGGGAGCAAACAGGAUUAGAUACCCUGGUAGUCCACGCUGUAAAACGAU